AGAGUUUGAUCCUGGCUCAGGACGAACGCUGGCGGCGUGCCUAAUACAUGCAAGUAGAACGCUGAAGAGAGGAGCUUGCUCUUCUUGGAUGAGUUGCGAACGGGUGAGUAACGCGUAGGUAACCUGCCUUGUAGCGGGGGAUAACUAUUGGAAACGAUAGCUAAUACCGCAUAACAAUGGAUGACACAUGUCAUUUAUUUGAAAGGAGCAAUUGCUCCACUACAAGAUGGACCUGCGUUGUAUUAGCUAGUAGGUGAGGUAAUGGCUCACCUAGGCGACGAUACAUAGCCGACCUGAGAGGGUGAUCGGCCACACUGGGACUGAGACACGGCCCAGACUCCUACGGGAGGCAGCAGUAGGGAAUCUUCGGCAAUGGGGGCAACCCUGACCGAGCAACGCCGCGUGAGUGAAGAAGGUUUUCGGAUCGUAAAGCUCUGUUGUAAGUCAAGAACGGGUGUGAGAGUGGAAAGUUCACACUGUGACGGUAGCUUACCAGAAAGGGACGGCUAACUACGUGCCAGCAGCCGCGGUAAUACGUAGGUCCCGAGCGUUGUCCGGAUUUAUUGGGCGUAAAGCGAGCGCAGGCGGUUUGAUAAGUCUGAAGUUAAAGGCUGUGGCUCAACCAUAGUUCGCUUUGGAAACUGUCAAACUUGAGUGCAGAAGGGGAGAGUGGAAUUCCAUGUGUAGCGGUGAAAUGCGUAGAUAUAUGGAGGAACACCGGUGGCGAAAGCGGCUCUCUGGUCUGUAACUGACGCUGAGGCUCGAAAGCGUGGGGAGCGAACAGGAUUAGAUACCCUGGUAGUCCACGCCGUAAACGAUGAGUGCUAGGUGUUGGAUCCUUUCCGGGAUUCAGUGCCGCAGCUAACGCAUUAAGCACUCCGCCUGGGGAGUACGACCGCAAGGUUGAAACUCAAAGGAAUUGACGGGGGCCCGCAC
rnacentral:rRNA from 1 species